GAUGAACGCUGGCGGCGUGCCUAAUACAUGCAAGUCGAGCGAAUGGAUUGAGAGCUUGCUCUUAUGAAGUUAGCGGCGGACGGGUGAGUAACACGUGGGUAACCUGCCCAUAAGACUGGGAUAACUCCGGGAAACCGGGGCUAAUACCGGAUAACAUUUUGAACCGCAUGGUUCGAAAUUGAAAGGCGGCUUCGGCUAUCACUUAUGGAUGGACCCGCGUCGCAUUAGCUAGUUGGUGAGGUAACGGCUCACCAAGGCAACGAUGCGUAGCCGACCUGAGAGGGUGAUCGGCCACACUGGGACUGAGACACGGCCCAGACUCCUACGGGAGGCAGCAGUAGGGAAUCUUCCGCAAUGGACGAAAGUCUGACGGAGCAACGCCGCGUGAGUGAUGAAGGCUUUCGGGUCGUAAAACUCUGUUGUUAGGGAAGAACAAGUGCUAGUUGAAUAAGCUGGCACCUUGACGGUACCUGACCAGAAAGCCACGGCUAACUACGUGCCAGCAGCCGCAGUAA
rnacentral:rRNA from 1 species